CGCCUCUCUCUCAUUGGUUAGGGGGCUUGGAAAAAAGAGACUCGGCGAGCUCUCGCUGUGGUGCUGCCGCCGCCGCUGGAGUUGACUCUUCUGCUCGCACUGCUGCUGCAGCACAAACGUGACUUCCAACAUUUAUUUAUCUUUGCCUUUUCUUUUCCAAGAUGUAACUACAGAUCAGACACUAAGGACCUUCACGUUUCGCUGAUGUAGUUUUUGGAGGAAAAAGGGGGGGCAGUGAAGGGCGUCGGUUUCUUUUUUUUUUUGUGUGUGUGUGUGUUUCGGGGGAAAUUUUCCAUUAUGGGUGUUUUACUAAAGUGAAUUUUUUUUUUGUUUUGUUUUGUUUGUUUGCUUCGUUCGUCUUUGGCUCUUUUUUUUUCCUUCCCAAUUUCGGAUUUAUUUCAAGGCGAAUCGGGCUUUGGGGGAAGAGGAAGAAAAGUCGGAUUACAAGAACAACCACCACCAACAACAAUAAAAACCACCAGGAUAUUUUUUUGCAAAUUUCUGACGGCUUUAAAUUCAUGAAGCAAUUGUCCCCCUUUGCAAUCAGCAUUUGGAUCUCAGAAUGAGCAAGGAAAGACCCAAGAGGAAUAUCAUUCAGAAGAAAUACGAUGACAGUGAUGGGAUUCCAUGGUCAGAAGAAAGGGUGGUACGUAAAGUCCUUUACUUGUCUCUGAAGGAGUUCAAGAAUGCUCAGAAGAGACAGCAUGGUGAAGGCAUUGCUGGGAGCCUGAAAACAGUAAAUGGUACUAGUCCCUGAAGGGAAAUCCAAAAAGGACAUCAGUAUUUCUAGAGUAAAUAUUUAGCCCUUGAAGAUUAACUAGUUUGAAUUGGUAAUACUUCAGAUGCCUUUCUUCUCUUCCACCCCCAGCCCAAAAAAUAUUUAUGUACUUAAAAAAGAACCCUUCAGUAUAUUAUUAUAAUUAAAAUUUUCUGCUUGAAUUUUUUUUACUAUUACAAUUGUUUAUUUCUUAGGCAUUCACUCCUGUAAAAGGUUCAAAGUAGAUGAGGUAUGAUUUUUUUUCCCCAUUCAAAAGAGAUAUGUGCCUUUAAAUUCUUUUCUAUCCAUCACAAGUCAUUGUGUAGGGUUAACUGUGGUAAAGUGCUGCUUCCUGAUGUCAUGUGUUUAAGUGUUUGUCCCCUUUUCUCACCUGUAGGGCUCCUUGGUAAUGGCCAGUCUAAGGGAUUAGGACCAGCAUCAGAACAGUCAGAGAAUGAGAAGGAUGAUGCAUCCCAAGUGUCCUCUACUAGCAACGAUGUUAGUUCUUCAGAUUUUGAAGAAGGGCCGUCGAGGAAAAGGUUAGUACCCAAGGCUGAAAGUAUUGGUGCCUUAAAUCAGGGACUGCAAACUAGGUGCCAGUUUUUGCCACAUGGAAACAAACUUGGGCCCAUUCAUGCAAUCUCCUGAUUUUUCAUAGAGGAGUCAGAGUUCUGAAUUUUUAUAUUAAAUGUCCUGGUUUCAAAAUA